rnacentral:rRNA from 1 species
UACGGAGGGUGCAAGCAUUGAUCGGAAUUACUGGGCGUAAAGGGUGCGUAGGCGGCUUGAAAAGUCAGAUGUGAAAUUCCGCGGCUCAACUGCGGAGCGGCAUUUGAAACUUUCUAGCUGGAGCGUAGUUAGGGAAAACGGAAUUCCACGUGUAGCGGUGAAAUGCGUAGAUAUGUGGAAGAACACCGGUGGUGAAGACGGUUUUCUGGGCUAUUGCUGACGCUGAGGCACGAAAGCUAGGGGAGCAAACAGG